rnacentral:pre_miRNA from 1 species
CAGCAGCAAUUCAUGUUUUGGAGUGUUGUACAAAGUUCAAAACGUGAAGCGCUGCUACA